GAUGAACGCUGGCGGCGUGCCUAAUACAUGCAAGUCGAGCGCACAGACGAGGUUCUUGCUCCUCUGACGUUAGCGGCGGACGGGAGCGUGACACGUAGAUAACCUACCUAUAGGACUGAGAUACCUUCGCGACACCGGAGCUCAUACCAGAUAAUAUGUUCAACCGCAUGGUUCAAUGGUAAAAGACGCUUUUGCUGUCACUUAUAGACGGAUCCGGGCCGCAUUAGCUAGUUGGUAGGGUAACGGCUUACCAAGGCAACGAUGCGUAGCCGACAUGAGAGUGUGAGCGGCCAGGCUGGAGCUGAGACACGGUCCAGAGGCGUCCGGGAGGCAGCAGUAAGGAAUCCGCGGGGAAGGGGUGAGGCAUGAUGGAGCAACGCCGCGUCAGUGAUGAAGGUCUUCGGUGCGUAAGACUCUGUUAUUAGGAAAGAACAGAGGUGUAAGUAACUAUGCACAUAUUGACGGUACCUGAUGAAGAAGCCACGGCUAACUACGUG
rnacentral:rRNA from 1 species